CAGAGGUGGCAUGAAAGAUAAAGUUGUUUUGAAGGUGAUCUUUUUGGGCAAAGUGUACUGACAUGGAGAGAGAGAUGGACAGACCAAAGGAUUAAAGCGCUGCUGCAUCACUUUCUUUAAGUAGAGAUGAAGCAAGGGCUAAAUCCCACAGGCACUGAAGAGUCAGAUGGUAUUGAAGGAGAAAGUCUGAGGCAACGGUGAUGAGGAAAAACUCCCUGAGAUGAUAUGAGGAAGAAACCUUUAGAGGAACCAGACUCAAAAGAGGAGCCUUCUUCAUCAAGAUAGUGGACACAACUAGGGGACAGCGCUGUGAAGCAUCACAACAGAAAGGAAACUUGGGAAGGAAGAUAAUCGUGCUAUUGAAUAUGACCCCAUUCCUAUAGUUUGCCUUGGACGCCUAACUCUCUAAAGCCCUUGCUCAUGGCAAAGAGCGCAGGUCAAGUAAUCAGAAUUGAUACUUGUUAGUAAUGUGAUUUUCUCUGUCUGAUCAUAAUAGUAUCUAAACUCUUUACUCAAAAAUCACCCAGAGAGAGAGAGAGAGAGAGAGAGAGAGAGAGAAUAAUACAAAAACAGCAUUUUCCCUCCAUCUGAAGCACUGCUAUCAGUGUGUGUUGCUCAGUAUGCACCUCUGCAUUCCACACUGCUAUAGCUCUCCUGUCAGCAGUGCCAAAUGCCUCCUACAUUAUGUUGAGACUUGAGUGAAAGAUAAGUAGAAGCGUCAGUUAGUAAAAGAUGUGACCCUAUAUAAAAGCAGCCCAACCCUGAAUUCCUUCAGCCUGAGUCUCUAAGCAGCCUCGUGGGGCAGGAAUGUGUCUAUCAAAUGCUUAGUGCCUGGCUUCCCACAGGCUCUCAGUAACACCCACACAGCACCACAUGAACGAAUGCUCCUUAUUUGCCUGACAUGUUCAGAAAUGAUCGUUACUAAUUAUCCACUUGAAAUACAA